rnacentral:misc_RNA from 1 species
UCCGGUUUGUCACCGGCAGUUCCAUUAGAGUGCCCAACUAAAUGUAGCAACUAAUGGCAAGGGUUGCGCUCGUUGCGGGACUUAACCCAACAUCUCACGACACGAGCUGACGACAGCCAUGCAGCACCUGUGUUACGGUUCUCUUUCGAGCACUCUCACAUCUCUGCGAGAUUCCGUACAUGUCAAGGGUAGGUAAGGUUUUUCGCGUUGCAUCGAAUUAAUCCACAUCAUCCACCGCUUGUGCGGGUCCCCGUCAAUUCCUUUGAGUUUUAAUCUUGCGACCGUACUCCCCAGGCGGUCGACUUCACGCGUUAGCUGCGGUACUAAGGAAGUCUCCUUCCCCAACACCUAGUCGACAUCGUUUAGGGCGUGGACUAC